GAAGAAUAUAAACUUUCUAGAACAAAACAUGCUGAGGAUGGCUUUCAGCUGCCACGUUUCUUAGCUUAAGCCAAGUGCCUUGGAAGUGCAGUAUUUUCAGAAACAGCAAACAUACACAUAAUAUAAUAUAGACAUAUUUCAAGUGAACCUGCAGGGUUUUUACUUAUUCUGCUAUACGCACAGUAGAUUCUGCAAGAACAAAGACUGAAUUUGGCACUUUAUUGAGAUGUAGAUAUUCAACAGCAGGAAAUAAUCUUCCUUGAAAGAAACCCCUAUUUCCGUCCUCCUUUUUUUAUACAUCCUUUAGUAGCUGAUCA